UAAAAAGAUUCCCGCUGGUCAGAAAGGGUCUUGCUGCCAACAUGAUCGCCACUCCGAUGUAAUAACAUGCUCUUAUCUGUAAUAUGCGCUUAUUUGUUACAGGAGGCUGUGUGGUCCAGUGGUUAAAGAAAAGGGCUUGAAACCAGGAGGUCCCCGGUUCAAAUCCCACCUCAGCCACUGACUCAUUGUGUGACCCUGAGCAAGUCACUUAACCUCCUUGUGCUCCGUCUUUCGGGUGAGACGUAAUUGCAGGGCUAAGGACAGACCUAAGCCCUCUGUUCGCAGCAGCCGGGGUCCUGCAGUGAGGUUCAUGCGGUCGCGUAUUGAGAGACUGGCAGGGAGAUGGGCACGGGGUGGAGAGAGAAUCCAUGAGAAACUGCCCCGCAAACCACGGGCACAGCCAAAGAAGGAAUUCCAGUUUUGUUCUGCAGCAAGCUGACAGAACAGUAAAGGAUUCCUAACUUCUAUGGCAUAUCAGAGCAAAGGAGAGGAACAGCCAGGUCAAGCAGAGGGGAUCAUCAAGAAAGCGAGGUAAAGCCAGAGGUAAAAAAAAAAACAAUAAUAAUAUAAAUCUUAGAAAUCUAAUAUUGCUAUUUGAAUGGUAUUGAAAUUGACAUGACCUAAAAAUACAGACACUGAUUCGUGAAUGCUGACUGGAGAUCACUUGCCAUUGUCACACAUGGAGACAUUCUGAAAAAAACAAACAAAUAGAAACAGUUUUUAAUGAAGAAAGAAAGAAUGCAAAUGCGAGUUUAGCUGAUUUCUUCCACAUUGUUUGAGUCGGCAGGGUUUCAAAG